AACAGGCGGACACGAAAUAUUUGCCUAAUUCCUUAAAAGAAAUUAACACCCAAUCAAACAACACAAAAACAAAAAAUUUACUAAUUCCACAAUAAUUACUAAACAAAACAAGAUAAAAAAAACAUUCCAAUAAAAAAAUAAACCAAAAGAAAAUAGAAAAAAGAGAAAAUAAAAUUUUAACAUAAUCAAAUUGAAAAUCACCAUAAAAUCCACAAAACUAGAAAAAACAAAAAUUAUAAGAAUAAAACAAAGAGCUAAUCCCCCUCAAUCUUAACGCCAAAUAAAACAAAAAUAAAUAAAUGAUAAAACAUAAAUAAGACGCAUGAAUUAAAUUCAUUUCUUGGAAAACCAGAAACCACCAAA
rnacentral:rRNA from 1 species